CUGGCCUUGACAUCCAGAGAACUUUCCAGAGAUGGAUUGGUGCCUUCGGGAACUCUGAGACAGGUGCUGCAUGGCCGUCGUCAGCUCGUGUCGUGAGAUGUUGGGUUAAGUCCCGUAACGAGCGCAACCCCUAUCCCUGGUUGCUAGCAGGUAAUGCUGAGAACUCCAGGGAGACUGCCGGUGACAAACCGGAGGAAGGUGGGGAUGACGUCAGGUCAUCAUGGCCCUUACGGCCAGGGCUACACACGUGCUACAAUGGCGCGUACAGAGGGCUGCCAACUCGCGAGAGUGAGCCAAUCCCUUAAAACGCGUCGUAGUCCGGAUCGGAGUCUGCAACUCGACUCCGUGAAGUCGGAAUCGCUAGUAAUCGCGAAUCAGAAUGUCGCGGUGAAUACGUUCCCGGGUCUGUACACACCCGAAUCUAGAGCAUCGGAGCCGA
rnacentral:rRNA from 1 species